rnacentral:rRNA from 1 species
CCUACGGGUGGCAGCAGUGGGGAAUAUUGGGCAAUGGGCGCAAGCCUGACCCAGCAACGCCGCGUGAAGGAAGAAGGCUCUCGGGUUGUAAACUUCUUUUCUGAGGGACGAAGAAAGUGACGGUACUUCAGGAAUAAGCCACGGCUAACUACGUGCCAGCAGCCGCGGUAAUACGUAGGUGGCAAGCGUUCUCCGGAUUUAUUGGGUGUAAAGGGCGUGUAGGCGGGAAAGCAAGUCAGAUGUGAAAACUCAGGGCUCAACCCUCAUCCUGCAUGUGAAACUGUUUUUCUUGAGUGCUGUAGAGGCAAUCGGAAUUCCGUGUGUAGCGGUGAAAUGCGUAGAUAUACGGAGGAACACCAGUGGCGAAGGCAGAUUGCUGGACAGUAACUGACGCUGAGGCGCGAAAGCGUGGGGAGCAAACAGGAUUAGAUACCCUUGUAGUC